ensembl:lincRNA
AUGGCUCAAGUUUCCUGUUCCAGGGCCAUGGUGGAGUUCUGCUGUCUCCAGAUUCCAGGAAUUCUCUUGUAUUCCAUCAUCAUAUACCAGACUGAGGAUAAGAGGCACAGAAUUGCAGCCAUGGUCUUCUUCACCAAGGAACAAGAGGCUCCCGGAAAACCCUGGCCCUUGGCUAUCUCUUCCAUGAGCACACCCUGGCCCUGGGGCCUGAGAUCUCUCCAUGCAGAGGCAGCCAUGAACUGCGGGGGCAGCAGCAAGGCUGGUCGCACCACCCACCCCGCCACCUCCGGCCCCGCCGCUCAACCAGCCAUCAGUCCCUUAACUGCCAGUGUUUGUGGACCAUGCAAAACAACCAACUUCCUCAAGCUCCAGGGAGCCAGAUGAGGCAGAUACCAUUACCUCUUCUUUUAUAAAGAAGAAACUCAUUUAUGGAGGAGUGGGAGCUGAACCAGUGUUGGACAGAUUGAGACUAAAUCCCCAGUCCUUUGAUUUCCAGCUUUUUGGAGUCUCUGCAUAAAUACCCAGAGUCCCAGAGGAGGCAUCAAUGUCCCUCAAAUGCCUGAUGACAACUCCCUCCCUCAUUUAUUAAUCACUGAGCUGGGGCCAGAUACUGUAUGGGGCUUUCAUUGGAAACAAAGUUGACAGAGACCCUGCCUUUAAGUGUUCGCAAUCUGGAUAUUGAUUAGGUCACCACUCUGCCCAUUUCAAUCCUCAGCUUUCUCUUCUUCUACUAGAAAAAUAACCCCAACAGUGCUUUAUUUUAUUUCAUUUAUUUCUUAUUUAUUUAUUUGAGACAGAGUCUCACUCUGUUGCCCAGGCUGCAGUGCAGAACUUGAUCACAGCUCAAUGAAGCCUCAACCUCCUGGGCUCAAGUGAUCCUCUCACUUCAGCCUCUUCUGAGUAACUAGGACCACCAUGCUUGCCUUUUUUUUUUUUUUUUUUUUUGAGACAGCAUCCCACUAUGUUGCCGAACCUGGUCUCAAACUCCAGGACUCCAGUGAUCCUCCCACCUUGGCCUCCCAAAACACUGGGAUUGCAGAUGUGAGCCACCUGCCCAGCCUUGUUUUAUUAUUUUUGAGACAGGGUCUGGCCCUAUAGCUCAGGCUGGAGUGCAGUGGUGUGAUCACAGUUCACUGCAGCUUCAACCUCCUGGGCUCUGGUGAUUCUCCCACCUCGCCCUCCCUAGUAGCUGGGACCACAGGCAUGCAACACCAUGCCCAGCUAAUUUUUAAAUUUUUUGUAGACUUGGGGUCUUGCUCUGUGGCCUAGGCUGGUCUUAAACUCCUAGGCUCAAGCGAUCUUCCUACCUCGGCCUCCUAAAGUGUUGGGAUUACAGGUGUGAGCCACCAUGCCCAGUCCAAUAGUGGUUUUUGGCUGGUGAUGUUGAAUCAAUUUUAUAAUCUUUUCAGAAUUUGAUUAGGAGUCAGAACACUAACAUUCUAGUUCCAGUUCUGCUACUUCACUGUGUAAUAGUGAGCCAGUCCUUUCCUAUGUGUGGGCUUCAUUUUUCACAUCUGCAAAAUGAUUUUGUGGGAUUGCGUCAGAAGAGAGUAGGAAUAUGGUUUCUAAGAACUUCUGGCUCAGAUCAUUUAGGAGAUGAAGACCCUUUGUAAUCUGUGGGCAGUGUUGUUUCUUUGGGUGAAAGGCUGGAGGGUAGGAGCCAAUGGGGCAUGUUAUGAGACCUUACAUUCUGCUGCCUUCCUCCUUAGCUUUGUGAGGUACCCUUCCCAAGGAGCAGGGAACUUGAGCUUUCUGAAAACCUCAGAGGGACCCCAUUUCUACCUGUCCUCACCAGCAAUACUCAGGAAGCACCAGAACUAUUUUGGAUUGGAAGUUAUUCAGCCAGAUUCCGAGGGUGAAGUUCAUGAAACAGAGAGAGAAUCAGAGAAGGAGAAGAGAGAGGCAUAAAGGAAGAGGCAGAGAGACAGAUAAAAGGAAGAAAGAGGUUGGAGGGACAGAGGGAAAGACUUAGAGGAAAGAAAGGAGGAGAGAGAAAAAUAGAGAGUAGGAAUUAGAGACAAACAGAUAGAGACAGGAAGAAAAAGAAAGAAACAGAGAGACAGAGAAACAGAAGAGAGAAGGAAACAGAGAAGGGAAGAGGAGAGAGGAGAGAAAAACAGGGGAAAAGAGACAGAAACAGGGAAAGACAGAGAGAGAGAAAAUAUAUGAAUGAAUAUGAUAAUAUGAUAGUGGACAUACCUAGUCCCAGGCAGCCGCAUAAGAGAAGCUGCAUAAAAUCAUACAUCUUGAACAGAAUCUAGAAGUGAAAGUGAAUCUAGAAGUGAAAAAUCGAGGCCAGAGAGCAAUUGAGCUUUGUUCAUAGUCACACAGCAAGCUGGUGGAAGUGCCAGGACUCAAACCCAUGAGGCACUGGCAUCAGGGAGUUUUGCCCUCUUCCCCCAUCAGUUCUCCUCUGAGGAUGAAGACAUACAACAUACAUGCAUGCUUACUAAGGCUGACUAGGGUCAGUUUGGUUCUAUUACAUAGCACUUUUGGGAGAUUAGAGGCAGACUUCAUGGAGGAGGUGACUUUUGGGUCAGGGCUUGAAGGAUGAAAACGAGAGCCAAAAUUUUAAUUGCGGCCAGGCGUGCUGGCUCACACUGGUAAUCCCAGCACUUUGAGAGGCCAAGGAGGGUUGAUUACCUGAGGUCAGGAGUUCGAGACCAACCUAGCCAACAUGGUGAAAUCUGUGUCUACUAAAAAUUAAAAAAAAAAAAUUAGCUGGGUGUGAUAACACGUGCCUAUAGCCCCAGCUACUGGGAAGGCUGAGGCAGGAGAGUCACUUGAACCUGGAAGACAGAGGUUGCAGUUGCAGUGAGCUGGGAUCGCACCAUUACACUAUAGCCUAGGCAACAAAACUCUGUCUCAAAAAAAAAAAAAAAAGAAUUUCAAAGAUGCACUUAUUCUUUAAAAAAAUUCAAAGUAAGGCUGGGCACAGUGGCUCAUGCCUGUAAUCCCAGCACUUUGGGAGGCUGGGGCG